rnacentral:rRNA from 1 species
CCUACGGGGGGCUGCAGCGGGGAAUAUUGGACAAUGGGCGAAAGCCUGAUCCAGCCAUGCCGCGUGUGUGAAGAAGGCCUUCGGGUUGUAAAGCACUUUCAGUGGGGAAGAAAGCCUUGGGGCUAAUACCCUCGAGGAAGGACAUCACCCACAGAAGAAGCACCGGCUAACUCCGUGCCAGCAGCCGCGGUAAUACGGAGGGUGCGAGCGUUAAUCGGAAUUACUGGGCGUAAAGCGCGCGUAGGCGGUCUGAUAAGCCGGUUGUGAAAGCCCCGGGCUCAACCUGGGAACGGCAUCCGGAACUGUCAGGCUAGAGUGCAGGAGAGGAAGGUAGAAUUCCCGGUGUAGCGGUGAAAUGCGUAGAGAUCGGGAGGAAUACCAGUGGCGAAGGCGGCCUUCUGGACUGACACUGACGCUGAGGUGCGAAAGCGUGGGUAGCAAACAGGAUUAGAUACCCCUGUAGUC